GAUCAUAAGGUCCUUCUGCUAACUCUCAGUACCCUAUAUUUCAGUAGAUCCUAGCUUUAUCUUUAGGUCAGAAUCUUUUGGAAAUUUAUUUAAUGUCCCAAAUAACCCCUGAAAAUAGGACUCAAAAGUUUUCUCUUUCCCAUUCUCUUAUUCCUCAGGUCUAGGCACAACUCAAGCUAGUUUUCCAAGAAGUCUUGACCCUGAAGUGCUACAGCAUUCAAGUCUCGGUCCAGAAAUAGGACCAGGGAGUUCUUUUGGUGGAGUCAACAUCACUGACUUCCCCAGUACAGAAAACUAAACCGUAACUUGAAGGACUUCCCUAGGAGAAGGGGUCACAGUAUCUGUACCCCAGAUUAGAGGAACAGGGAAGGCCCAGAUCAUUCACCUUCCUAGUUUCCUUCUCUUCCUGAUGACAGUAAUGCUAAAGACUGGAAGAUGGUAUCUCCAAUUUUCUUACAGUCAGGUCCCAAAGAGGACCCCAACAUCAGAUGUUCUCCCUGGGCUAGCUCAUCCUCAGGCUCCAUGAAACUGUCUUUCUUACCUGUUGAGGUGAUUUGGUGACAAAAAGACCAUUUCUAGCCAUAGCAACAUAACAAGG
rnacentral:lncRNA from 1 species